rnacentral:rRNA from 1 species
UACGAAGGGGGCGAGCGUUGUUCGGAAUUACUGGGCGUAAAGGGCGCGUAGGCGGCGACCCAAGUCAGAUGUGAAAGUCCUGGGCUUAACCUGGGGACUGCAUUUGAUACUGGGUUGCUUGAAUUCGGGAGAGGAUAGCGGAAUUCCCAGUGUAGAGGUGAAAUUCGUAGAUAUCUGGAGGAACACCAGUGGCGAAGGCGGCAUCCUGGACCGGUAUUGACGCUGAGGCGCGAAAGCUAGGGUAGCAAACGGG